AACGAACGCUGGCGGCAGGCUUAACACAAGCAAGUCGAGCGCCCCGCAAGGGGAGCGGCAGACGGGUGAGUAACACGUGGGAACCUUCCUAGAGGUACGGAACAACUCAGGGAAACUUGAGCUAAUACCGUAUACGCUCUUGCGAGGAAAGAUUUAUCGCCUUUAGACGGGCCCGCGUCGGAUUAGCUAGUUGGUGGGGUAACGUCCUACCAAGGCGACGAUCCGUAGCUGAUCUGAGAGGAUGAUCAGCCACACUGGGACUGAGACACGGCCCAGACUCCUACGUGAGGCAGCAGUGGGGAAUCUUGGACAAUGGGCGCAAGCCUGAUCCAGCCAUGCCGCGUGAGUGAAGAAGGCCUUCGGGUUGUAAAGCUCUUUUGCCAGGGACGAUAAUGACGGUACCUGGAGAAUAAGCCCCGGCAAACUUCGUGCCAGCCGCCGCUGUAA
rnacentral:rRNA from 1 species